rnacentral:rRNA from 1 species
AUUGAACGCUGGCGGCAGGCCUAACACAUGCAAGUCGAACGAGUGGCGGACGGGUGAGUAAUGUCUGGGAAACUGCCUGAUGGAGGGGGAUAACUACUGGAAACGGUAGCUAAUACCGCAUACCAUCAGAUGUGCCCAGAUGGGAUUGGCUUGUUGGUGGGGUAAAGGCUCACCAAGGCGACGAUCCCUCGCUGGUCUGAGAGGAUGACCAGACACACUGGAAAUGAGACACGGUCCAGACUCAGACGGUAGGCAGCAGUGGGGAAUAGUGCACAAUGGGCGCAAGCCUGAGGCAGCCAUGCCGCGUGUAUGAAGAAGGCCUUCGGGUUGUAAAGUAAUUUCAGCGGGGAGGCGUUACCCGCAGAAGAAGCACCGGCUAACUCCGUGCCAGCAGCCGCGGUAAUUC